UCAAGUGACUAAGUGCAUGUGGCGGAUGCCUUGGCGAUCACAGGCGAAGAAAGACGCGGCAGCCUGCGAAAAGCUGCGGGGAGCUGGCAAACGAGCUUUGAUCCGCAGAUAUCUGAAUGGGGGAACCCACACCGCAAGGUGUAUCCGUGACUGAAUACAUAGGUUACGGAGGCGAACGAGGAGAACUGAAACAUCUAAGUAUCCUCAGGAAAAGAAAUCAACCGAGAUUCCGGCAGUAGCGGCGAGCGAACCCGGAGGAGCCUAGCUUUUGAUAGUACGAACUUUAGCCGAAAGGUCCUGGAAAGGCCUGCUAUAGUGGGUGAUAGCCCCGUAGGCGAAAGAGUUCGUAUGGUACUAAGGAAGCGAGAAGUAGAGCGGGACACGUGGAAUCCUGUUCGAAGAUGGGGGGACCAUCCUCCAAGGCUAAAUACUCGUGAUCGACCGAUAGUGAACCAGUACCGUGAGGGAAAGGCGAAAAGAACCCCGGGAGGGGAGUGAAAUAGAACCUGAAACCGCAUGCAUACAAACAGUAGGAGCCUCGUCAGAGGUGACUGCGUACCUUUUGCAUAAUGGGUCAGCGACUUACAUUCUGUGGCGAGCUUAACCGAAUAGGGGAGGCGCAGCGAAAGCGAGUUCGAAAUGAGCGUCCAGUCGCAGGGUGUAGACCCGAAACCAGAUGAGCUAUCCAUGGCCAGGUUGAAGGUGUGGUAACACACACUGGAGGACCGAACCGACUAGUGUUGCAAAAUUAGCGGAUGAGCUGUGGAUAGGGGUGAAAGGCCAAACAAAUCUGGAGAUAGCUGGUUCUCCCCGAAAACUAUUGAGGUAGUGCCUCGUGUGUCGCUCCAGGGGGUAGAGCACUGUUUUGGCUAGGGGGACAUGGAGUCUUACCAAACCAAGGCAAACUCCGAAUACCUGGAAGCGUGAGCACGGGAGACAGAGCACCGGGUGCUAACGUCCGGACUCAAAAGGGAAACAACCCAGACCGCCGGCUAAGGUCCCCAAUAACAGCUAAGUGGAAAACGAAGUGGAAAGGCCGUGACAACCAGGAAGUUGGCUUAGAAGCAGCCAUCCUUCAAAGAAAGCGUAAUAGCUCACUGGUCGAGUCCUUCUGCGCGGAAGAUGUAACGGGGCUAAGCUGUUAACCGAAGCCGCGGAUGCACUGAUUAUUCAGUGCGUGGUAGGGGAGCGUUCUGUAAGUCUGCGAAGGCGGUUCGAGAGGACUGCUGGAGAUAUCAGAAGUGCGAAUGCUGACAUGAGUAACGUUAAAGCAGGUGAAAAGCCUGCUCGCCGUAAGCCCAAGGAUUCCUGCUCUACGUUCAUCGGAGCAGGGUGAGUCGGCUCCUAAGGUCAGGCCGAAAGGCGUAGCCGAUGGGAAUCAGGUUAAUAUUCCUGAACCUGCGUCAGAUGCGAUGGGGGGACGGAGCAUGAAAGAUCAUCCGGGUGUUGGAUGUCCCGGUUGACGAGCGUAGGAGGUCUGCAGGCAAAUCCGCAGACGCAUCUCCAAGGCGAAGUCACGUGCCGCCACGGCGGCGAAGUGAUCGGAAGUGCUUCCAAGAAAAGCCUCUAAGCACCAGUCUGACGCGGACCGUACCGCAAACCGACACUGGUGGGCGAGCUGAAUAUGCUCAGGCGCUUGAGAGAACUCGGGAGAAGGAACUCGGCAAAUUGACACCGUAACUUCGGAAGAAGGUGUGCCGUAGUACCGUGAGAGGAGAGACACCUUGAGCGGGAAUCGGUCUCAGAGAAUAGGUGGCUGCGACUGUUUAUUAAAAACACAGCACUCUGCAAAGUCGAAAGACGACGUAUAGGGUGUGAUGCCUGCCCGGUGCUGGAAGAUUAAUUGAUGGGGUGAGAGCCCUUGAUCGAAGUCCCAGUAAACGGCGGCCGUAACUAUAACGGUCCUAAGGUAGCGAAAUUCCUUGUC
rnacentral:rRNA from 1 species